AUUGAACGCUGGUGGUAUGCUUAACACAUGCAAGUCGAACGGGUUUGGAAGACAGAAAACAGCAGACAGAAGACGGUAAUUUUGAGUGCGGUGAUGUGCACGGAUUAUUUUAAAUUUAAAAUAAUCAUCGCGAAGCGAUACAAAUGAUCUGUCCUCCGUCUUCAGUCCUCUGUUUUCCGGCUAGUGGCGGACGGGUGAGUAACGCGUAGGAAUCUGCCGUACAGAGGGGGACAACAGUUGGAAACGACUGCUAAUACCGCAUGAUACCUUCGGGUCAAAGGUUGCUUUCGGGCAGUCGCUGUACGAUGAGCCUGCGUUGGAUUAGCUAGUUGGUUGGGUAAAGGCUGACCAAGGCGAUGAUCCAUAGCUGUUCUGAGAGGAAGAUCAGCCACACUGGGACUGAGACACGGCCCAGACUCCUACGGGAGGCAGCAGUGGGGAAUAUUGGACAAUGGGGGCAACCCUGAUCCAGCAAUACCACGUGUGUGAAGAAGGCCUUAGGGUUGUAAAGCACUUUAGUUCGUGAGGAAGGUUAUCAUGUUAAGAGCUAGAUAAUUUGACGUUAGCGAAAGAAUAAGCACCGGCUAACUCCGUGCCAGCAGCCGCGGUAAUACGGAGGGUGCGAGCGUUAAUCGGAAUUACUGGGCGUAAAGGGUUCGUAGGUGGUUAGAUAAGUCAGAUGUGAAAUACCUGGGCUCAACCUGGGAGGUGCAUUUGAUACUGUUUGACUAGAGUUCACUAGAGGAUUGGGGAAUUUCCGGUGUAGCGGUGAAAUGCGUAGAGAUCGGAAGGAACAUCAAUGGCGAAGGCAACAAUCUGGGGUUGAACUGACACUGAGGGACGAAAGCGUGGGUAGCAAACAGGWUWAGAUACCCUGGUAGUCCACGCUGUAAACGAUGAGUACUAGCUGUUGGAUCUGGUGUAAAAGAUUUAGUGGCGCAGCUAACGCGAUAAGUACUCCGCCUGGGGACUACGGCCGCAAGGUUAAAACUCAAAGGAAUUGACGGGGACCCGCACAAGCGGUGGAGCAUGUGGUUUAAUUCGAUGCAACGCGAAGAACCUUACCUGCCCUUGACAUCCAUAGGAGAUCUGAGAGAUUGGAUUGUGCCUUCGGGAACUAUGAGACAGGUGCUGCAUGGCUGUCGUCAGCUCGUGUUGUGAAAUGUUGGGUUAAGUCCCGCAACGAGCGCAACCCUUAUUUUUAGUUGCCAUCAUUAAGUUGGGCACUCUAGAGAGACUGCCGCUGAUAAGGCGGAGGAAGGUGGGGACGACGUCAAGUCAUCAUGGCCCUUACGGGCAGGGCUACACACGUGCUACAAUGGGCAUUACAGAGGGAAGCGAAGGUGCGAGCUGGAGCGAAACUUUAGAAAGGUGUUCGUAGUCCGGAUUGCUCUCUGCAACUCGAGAGCAUGAAGUCGGAAUCGCUAGUAAUCGCGGAUCAGCAUGCCGCGGUGAAUACGUUCCCGGGUCUUGUACACACCGCCCGUCACACCAUGGGAGUGGGUUGCAAAAGAAGUAGAUAGUCUAACCGCAAGGAGGACGUUUACCACUUUGUGAUUCAUGACUGGGGUG
rnacentral:rRNA from 1 species